GAAGGUGGCCUGUGAGGGUUGCUGGAGGUAUCAGAAGUGCGAAUGCUGACAUAAGUAACGAUAAAGCGGGUGAAAAGCCCGCUCGCCGGAAGACCAAGGGUUCCUGUCCAACGUUAAUCGGGGCAGGGUGAGUCGACCCCUAAGGCGAGGCCGAAAGGCGUAGUCGAUGGGAAACGGGUUAAUAUUCCCGUACUUGGUGUUACUGCGAAGGGGGGACGGAGAAGGCUAUGUUGGCCGGGCGACGGUUGUCCCGGUUUAAGCGUGUAGGUGUGUGUUCCAGGUAAAUCCGGUUCACUUUAACACUGAGGCGUGACGACGAGGCACUACGGUGCUGAAGCAACAAAUGCCCUGCUUCCAGGAAAAGCCUCUAAGCAUCAGGUAACAUCAAAUCGUACCCCAAACCGACACAGGUGGUCAGGUAGAGAAUACCAAGGCGCUUGAGAGAACUCGGGUGAAGGAACUAGGCAAAAUGGUGCCGUAACUUCGGGAGAAGGCACGCUGACACGUAGGUGAAGUGAUUUACUCAUGGAGCUGAAGUCAGUCGAAGAUACCAGCUGGCUGCAACUGUUUAUUAAAAACACAGCACUGUGCAAACACGAAAGUGGACGUAUACGGUGUGACGCCUGCCCGGUGCCGGAAGGUUAAUUGAUGGGGUCAGCGCAAGCGAAGCUCCUGAUCGAAGCCCCGGUAAACGGCGGCCGUAACUAUAACGGUCCUAAGGUAGCGAAAUUCCUUGUCGGGUAAGUUCCGACCUGCACGAAUGGCGUAAUGAUGGCCAGGCUGUCUCCACCCGAGACUCAGUGAAAUUGAACUCGCUGUGAAGAUGCAGUGUACCCGCGGCAAGACGGAAAGACCCCGUGAACCUUUACUAUAGCUUGACACUGAACAUUGAGCCUUGAUGUGUAGGAUAGGUGGGAGGCUUUGAAGUGUGGACGCCAGUCUGCAUGGAGCCGACCUUGAAAUACCACCCUUUAAUGUUUGAUGUUCUAACGUGGACCCGUAAUCCGGGUUGCGGACAGUGUCUGGUGGGUAGUUUGACUGGGGCGGUCUCCUCCUAAAGAGUAACGGAGGAGCACGAAGGUUGGCUAAUCCUGGUCGGACAUCAGGAGGUUAGUGCAAUGGCAUAAGCCAGCUUGACUGCGAGCGUGACGGCGCGAGCAGGUGCGAAAGCAGGUCAUAGUGAUCCGGUGGUUCUGAAUGGAAGGGCCAUCGCUCAACGGAUAAAAGGUACUCCGGGGAUAACAGGCUGAUACCGCCCAAGAGUUCAUAUCGACGGCGGUGUUUGGCACCUCGAUGUCGGCUCAUCACAUCCUGGGGCUGAAGUAGGUCCCAAGGGUAUGGCUGUUCGCCAUUUAAAGUGGUACGCGAGCUGGGUUUAGAACGUCGUGAGACAGUUCGGUCCCUAUCUGCCGUGGGCGCUGGAGAACUGAGGGGGGCUGCUCCUAGUACGAGAGGACCGGAGUGGACGCAUCACUGGUGUUCGGGUUGUCAUGCCAAUGGCACUGCCCGGUAGCUAAAUGCGGAAGAGAUAAGUGCUGAAAGCAUCUAAGCACGAAACUUGCCCCGAGAUGAGUUCUCCCUGAGACUUAGAGUCUCCUGAAGGAACGUUGAAGACGACGACGUUGAUAGGCCGGGUGUGUAAGCGCAGCGAUGCGUUGAGCUAACCGGUACUAAUGAACCGUGAGGCUUAACCUUACAACGCCGAAG
rnacentral:rRNA from 7 species